UAUGCGCACGUCUCGCUGCGCCCAGGCUUGGGGCGCGGGGCAGCUGUCUCCUGGGAGACCCUAACACUGCUGUCCCCCACCGCGCCAGGAAAUGGGAGCUCUGAGAGCCCACAGGGGCACCUGCAUGUCACCACUAUCCUUCAUCUCUUCUACCACGUGGAGGAGGCAUGCACCAGCCUGGGUUGCCUCAUUUCUCUCUCCCGCACCUGGGCUCUGAAGGUGCCCUCAGCCCCAGGGACCCGCUCCCGCUCCCGCUCCCUGCCGCCUCCCUUCCCGUGCCCUUUCUUCGCGUGGGGCGGCGGCUACGUUUCCUGGGAGUGAGAGAGGCCAGGCUGCCCAGAGCUUCAGCCUUGAGACUCAGGAUGUCUUCAGAGAGGACCUUUCCUCCCAAGGACGCUGUUUAAAAUUGGACUCCCUCAGUGACGUGUGAAGAACAGUCAGAGAAGCUGAAAGACAUCUGACAUGUGCGUGGAGUCACUUAAUCAGGUGCAUCUCUCAAUGUGGGUACUUGGCUGCAGAAGAUGUGAUUGCCUUGCUGCUUCCUUCACAGCAAGUACCUUGUUACCUAGAGGUAGCAAAUAUGGGGUUUCAUGAUUAAUGGGAAGAUGAAUAUGAAGGUCCAGAGGUGUCCCAGAGUCUUUCUAAGACUACUGAAGAUUCCAGGUUCGGAAGGAAUAUUCCAGAUACUCCAUUGGGGGAAAAGGUGGAAAGAUAAAGAAAAGCUGGUGGAUGACGUGAGGACAGAGGAUGGGCAAAUGCAGGAAAGGAAACGAAUGCUGGCUGCGUGCGGACUUGGUGGUCAAGGCAGCACAGAGACUGACCACACACGCUGUGAUUUCUGUGACCCCAGAGGGAGGCUUACACUACUCACACUCACAGUGCUCUGACACCACAUGUUUCGGGGAGGGGGACUUCCUCAAAACAAGCAAUUCUCAGA